rnacentral:rRNA from 1 species
AUUGAACGCUGGCGGCAUGCCUUACACAUGCAAGUCGAACGGCAGCACGGGGGCAACCCUGGUGCGAGUGGCGAACGGGUGAGUAAUGCAUCGGAACGUGCCCAGUAGUGGGGAUAACUAGUCGAAAGAUUAGCUAAUACCGCAUACGACCUAUGGGUGAAAGCGGGGGAUGCAGCACUUAAUGUUUUGGGAUGGCUACUUGUGGCCGCCUCGGGACAGUCCAGGUUGAGAACAUUAAGUGCUGCACCUCGCGCUAUCGGAGCGGCCGAUGUCUGAUUAGCUAGUUGGCGGGUAAANCCCACAAGGCACGAUCAGUAGCUGGUCUGAGAGGACGACCAG